GCAGCGUGUCAGCUGGGAGGCACGGCGCAGUGCCAUGCAGAUGUAAUCUACACCUCUCCGUGCCAGACAACAGCGAUUGAAUCGCGGCAGGCAGCCGAUCUGUGACAUGCUGACAGGAUCGGCAUAGCGACACAUGUGUGGGUAUCUGCUUUCACGCAACACCUCCCGGGGAACAGGAAUGUGGUAGGAGGCCAACUGCUGCGGUGUGCGUAGGGGUGAAACAGUGAGGUGCUGAGAACGCUGCACGACUGGGUGGGACGGCGCACGAGCUGGCUGACACCACGUUAAAGAGAUCUGGAAAGAGAGAGAGAAUUGAAGCUUGGUGGAGAUAAGACGGAAGGCCACAGGCAAGGCUGGGCUGGUGAGAGGAAGAGCAUGAAAUAGAAAGAGCCGGUUCGAGGAAGUACGGCGGGCUAACUGGGAACAGAGCCGCGGAGGAUGUACCUACAGACAGAGAAGAGAGUCAGGGUUUCUCCAAACAAAAGAAUCAAGUAAAAAGUUGAUUCAGGCGCAGGCCAUGAAAACCGAAAAAGUGGCUCUAAUGGAGCAAGUUCACAAUCUGAAAAGGGAACAUAUAAAACUUGAGAUGGAGGUCCGACAUGAGGUGGAGCUGCUAAAGAGAGAAACCAAGAAAAGACAACCUUCCACUAAAUCCUACCUCGCCCACCUGAACAAGCUGGAUAUUGUUGAGAGGAAGUGGAGACAGGUCAAGCGGCUGGAGGGGGCAGAACAACAAGGACUCACUAAGAAGAAGUUAUUCUGAAGUAGCUCUCCUUAAGAACGAGCACUGCACUAGAAACAAGGCAAAACUGAACUCUAACUUUGGUUUUUACAGUUUUGUAUGUUAACGUCCAUAUGUUGGGAAUAAAGUGGGGAACUUGU